CCUGCCACAGAAGAAACAGCAAUUCUACUUCUAUGUUUAUAGGCAGUGUAGAAGUUUCCCUUUGUCCUGGUUGAUCACCCUGGGGCACAUUGGAAUAUACAGCCCAGGAAGCUUCCAAGACAUUUGCCUGUGUCAACAGAGUAUGAAAUCCAUUCAUGAGGUUGAUUGCUGUGUUCAAGCAGUAAUGACAAUAACCGUGUUCUUCUGCGGGUGUUAGAAUAAUGACUACAUAAAAAAACGUUAGAUGGUGACCUAAACACCCCUCCUCUGGAACUUUUGAAACACGUUGGAGAUCGUCUUCGUCAAGACGAAUUGUUCUGUGCACUUCUACAACACGAUUGGUACUGUGGUGGCAACUGUAAGCAGCUGAAAUAGUGUUCCGUGAUGCUGUUGUCCCUGGAUGAGAGUAAAGGAGACUCACAAAUGCCAGCUCCUUGGUGGAGGAGCAGGUUAACUGGGGGAGAGAGGGAGGGCUGAUGAAGAUCUGGGACAACUGGAUGGUUCUGCUAGAGCGCAGGGCUGGGGUCUGCCUCCCACAAGGGGUCUGCCAAAGAGGGCUCCCUGAGACCACUGUCACUGUCUGAGAGGAGAACCCGAGUCCAUCUGAGCUCUCCUCUCCCACACAUUGCUUGCCACAUUAAAAACUGGUGUGAUGUGUCUGCUUUUUUAAAAACAACAUUCAGGCAGCUUGUAUUUUUCAACAAUCCCACAAACACAACAGUAUUAUGAUGGCAUUGUGAAGUGCUGUCAGAUUUCACAUGGAAAUAUACUGGAAAAUAGGCAUCAUAGACAGUAAAAUGAUUUUAUUCAGUUGAACCAGUAAUGAUGCAAACACAAUAGAUGAGUAUAAAUGAUACUAAAUGGAUGAAUAUUAUGCUGUUCAUCUACAACAUUACAUAUGCUCUUUCACAUUCCAUUCAUGAUCAUUUUAGUGAAAAAUGUUUUAGAAGAUGCCCCAAUAUUUCUUGUAAACCUACAAAAUAUUUCAGGUGGAACACACACUUCUAAUGAAGUGAACUAUUUUUAAAAUUUAAUUCAUAAAGAACUCCAUUGUAAAUGAGGAUGCACUUGAAAACCAACCAGAAUUAGUAUGCACUCAUUCAGGGGAAAAUACUACUUCAUUUGAUUGAUUUUUUUUCAUGAGAACACCUUAUUAAUUAGCUAUCUUAUUUCCUGGUAAAUACAAGGAAAGAUCACUGAAGCAGCAAGAAGAUAUCAUUAGAAAUUAGUGUUAAUUUAAAACACGUUAACGCUGUGGAAACUAAAAAAAGAUAUAUAAAGAUUUUUUAUUCAGCCAUAAACAAUUGCAUAAUUGAUCCAUUCAUAAAUAAUUAGGAAACACAGACACUUAUUUUAAAACUAUCCGUGAGUAAACUGCCUAUGAGGAUUUGAUCCCCAUUAUUUUGCAACCCUCAUUCAUACUUUAUGGCUGUGCAUCUCUGAAGUCAUAAAACAGUGAAUAUGCAUCUGUACUCUACGUGUCGCAACAGGUUCUUUGUUCUGGCUAUUUCAUUCCCUUGAUGUCACUGAGACCCAUCCAAAAGUUCUCAGGCACAAACAUUCACAUGUACCGCGAUAUUUCAUACAGUAAAUCAUAACCAAUGAUGUCUUGUGUGAGGGAAAAGAAGGAAGGCCGGGUGAAACUCAGGGAUUAACGGUGGCCCAAUAGGAUUCUCCACUGGUGCAGAAACAAGAGAUGGGCUUGCUCAGCUCACUGUGCUACGUAACAUGAAGAAAAACACAAAAACAGAAGAGACAUCUCUCCAGCGCAUGCUUGUCAGCAGCCGGCCUGAAAGACUGAUAUAUUUCACCAAUGAAAUUGUGUGAAAACUUCAAUGCGCUGUAUGAGUGCUGUUUGCAGUGAUGUGAAAUGAUUAAAACAAUAAAGAAGGUAACACAUCCUA